UUGGUGGGUACACAAAAGGAAGCUUCUGCCCACAGCUUGGGAGCAGUCAAGUCCAGGUUCUAGAACAAUCUGUCCUCGCCCUUGCUGGGCAGUCUGCUUCCUUCUCCAGCCAGCCUGUGCAUCUUGCUGCCGUCCCAAACUGAGAUGGACAAGUCCCUGCUCCUGCUCCUGCUGCUGGCAGUCUUCCCUUUUGUGUUCUUCCAAGGAGUGGGUCCAGCCACAUUAUGCAUGGUCUGCAACAAUUUUAAGAGAGGUCAUUGUUUGAGGGGCAAGGGCAAUUGCACCAUGGAACAAGGUCCUGGCUGCAGAACCAGAGAUUUCUUCAUUUUCACGGAGCGAGAUGGGUGGCGCUACAACCACACUGAACUGGACUGCUCUGAUCAUUGCCUACCUGUAAGUUUCCAUCUAGGAGCCAUGAAGAUUUCAACCUUCUGCUGUAAAGGUCAAGAUUUCUGUAAUAGAUAUCAAGGAAAAGGACAGGAAUGGAAGCCUCGCUAACUGUUCUCCCCCUGUUGGUGGAGGUGUCCACUCCCCCGUCCCCAUCCUUGGCCAUCCUUGACCCUCUCUGGGCCUCUCUCCCUCCACAUGUGCUCCUGAGGAGCACACAGCAUCCUCCCGUCUCCUCCCAGUUCCCCUCCUCACUUCCCUCCUGCCCAUGGGCUCUUGCCCCCCCAACACCAAACACUGUCUGGUCACCCUUGGUGUCAUCUCACCUGCAAAUGCAGCUCUCCUCACCCUGUAUCUCCUCCUCCUUCACAAACACUUGGCUUCUCUGGCUGACAGGCUGCCUGGUUUCUAGUCCCACAACUCAGGAGUGACUGUGAUGUACCCAGACAGGGCAGGGGUUCCAUUUCGCACAUCAGGAGUUGGAGGGGUCAGUGGAAAACUCAGGAAAACCUGUCCCACUGGCAGAUGGACAGAGAAGAAGGUGCCAAGGCUUGAGGCAGCAGAGAUGGGCUCAUCAGCUUUGGAUGCUACGCACAUUCUCUGAACCUACUGAUGGCUUCCAUUGUCCGGGGAGGGGAGUGGGAGCGGGGCUGGUGAAUCACAGACACAGGAGACCACGGGAAUGGAAAGUGGGUGAAGGCCACAGAAGCAGGUGGGGACCCAGGACAGAGGAGCAUCGCUAUCUGUUUUCUGUGACAACCGGCAGGUGAUUGGCAGAGCAGGUUGAAAGGAGAAAUGGCACAGGAGUCACAUGGCAGAGGGUUGAGGAAUGAAGGGACCGUGACAGGAGGACAUAGGGAGUAUGGGCAGCUCUUCCAAGGAGCUUGGGAGGAACUGAGAAAGUGGGACAGUAUCUUUUAUAAGAACAGUGAAUUUCAUAUGUUCUUAGGCAAGGAAAGAUUUUAUUUCGGCAGCAAUAGUAGUUUCCUAAUGAUGCAAAAUUUGAGGUACAAGUUUGGGACACUUUAAUCUGUGUAGAAAUUCAUAUUUUUGUCCUAAGACCAAAAUAGCCCAAAUUUGUAAUUCAUCAUAGCUUUAAGUACCUGGGAAGGAAUGCAGAUAACGUGACUAUAGGUUCACAACUAAAAUCUGUUGUAAUUAAAGUAAUUGGUGCCUUUUAUAAAUUGAUCUUGUGGCUUCUUGGAGAUUACCUCCACAUUUUAUUGAUUUGACAUUCUUCUUUUCCUUUCUUUAUAUGGACUGACUUUUCCUUUUUGUGUAUAUGCUCCAUUUGAAAUCUAGAAAAUAUUGAAAUAUUAUAUAUACCUAUGAGAUUAUUUUAUUUUAUCACUCCAAGUAUUUUUUAUAAUUUUUAAUAUGAACUUUAAUACUACUUUUAUAUAAUUCUAGACAUAAUAUUCUGUCUAAUUGAUUCUGAGGGGGCUUGGACUAGUAUAAUAUUGAGGUUGUAAAUAUCUGUUAUUAUGUAAGGUCACUGAGAAAUUAAAGCACAACCUCAAGACUAUCUGUACGAAAAAAAUAAACAGAUUGUUUUAA